rnacentral:rRNA from 1 species
GAACGCUAGCUACAGGCUUAACACAUGCAAGUCGAGGGGAAACGAUAUUGGAAGCUUGCUUCUGAUAGGCGUCGACCGGCGCACGGGUGAGUAACGCGUAUCCAACCUGCCCAUCACUUGGGGAUAACCUUGCGAAAGUAAGACUAAUACCCAAUGACGUCUCUAGAAGACAUCUGAAGGAGAUUAAAGAUUUAUCGGUGAUGGAUGGGGAUGCGUCUGAUUAGCUUGUUGGCGGGGUAACGGCCCACCAAGGCGACGAUCAGUAGGGGUUCUGAGAGGAAGGUCCCCCACAUUGGAACUGAGACACGGUCCAAACUCCUACGGGAGGCAGCAGUGAGGAAUAUUGGUCAAUGGGCGAGAGCCUGAACCAGCCAAGUAGCGUGCAGGAUGACGGCCCUAUGGGUUGUAAACUGCUUUUAUAAGGGAAUAAAGUGGGAGUCGUGACUCUUUUUGCAUGUACCUUAUGAAUAAGGACCGGCUAAUUCCGUG